CACAACAAUGGCAGCUCCCAUGGAAGCACACAUCGUAAAUGUCUGCUGCCGGACGUCCACCCAGCCACUGCAGAGCUGUUCAUGAGCUUCUAAGGAUUCAUCAUAUUUAAACUCGUGCAAAGUGAACGCACUCAGUUACAAAACAAGCUCAUUUACAACGUCCAGCUGUGUGAGUGGGCUGCCCAGUCAUUUGGAUCUACAUUGUUUAUCGUUUUUAGUUGGUCCAAAUACCGUUUCUGUGCAUUGUAUUUGUCCGGGUUCUCCUUUUCUUUCUCUUCUCCUUCAGAUUUUACAAACUAAAAAACUUUUAAGUAACCGGCAGGCUCACAGGUAAACAGACGCGGUGCACCUUCACCAUCUCAGGACAACAUCGCCCCUCUGCGGAGGACACCUGUACUCCUACCUGCAGAAAUGCUCGUGUUGUGUUUACGGUCUCCUUCUUUUGUCACGUGCCUGGCCGCGUUUAAAGACGAUACUGUUCGCAGCAGCUUUCACCUAAUGAUAAGAACAUCCGGUGGUGAUUAUUAUUAUUAUUAUUAUGGUAAUGAGAGUUAAAUAAUACACUAAUUUGACUCACUGGAUUCAAAAUAUCUCAUAGUAAUAUUAUUUUUGUUACUGUUGUUGUUGGUAGUAUGAUUUAUAUUGCUCUUGUAAAAAUUAAUUUCUAUAUUAUUUGUAGUAUUAAAAAUGCAUAACUUCUUAGAUAUAUAUUUUUGCAGGUGCGCAUGUGCGCAAUACUACGUACAUUGUCACUAGCAGUGGUGGGGGGGCAGUAUUCCAAUUCUAUUUUCACUUUUUGUUUGUUAU